GGACCCGCACAAGCGGUGGAGCAUGUGGUUUAAUUCGAUGCAACGCGAAAAACCUUACCUACUCUUGACAUCCAUAGAACUUAGCAGAGAUGCUUUGGUGCCUUCGGGAGCUAUGAGACAGGUGCUGCAUGGCUGUCGUCAGCUCGUGUUGUGAAAUGUUGGUUAAGUCCCGCAACGAGCGCAACCCUUAUCCUUGUUUGCCAGCACUUCGGGUGGGAACUUCAGGGAGACUGCCGGUGAUAAACCGGAGGAAGGUGGGGAUGACGUCGAGUCAUCAUGGCCCUUACGAGUAGGGCUACACACGUGCUACAAUGGCGUAUACAGAGGGCAGCCAGCUUGUGAGAGUGAG
rnacentral:rRNA from 1 species